rnacentral:rRNA from 1 species
GAGACUCUGUGCGCGUGCAUAUCAAUAAGCGGAGGAAAAGAAACUAACAAGGAUUCCCUUAGUAACGGCGAGUGAAGCGGGAAGAGCUCAAAUUUGAAAUCUUCAAGGUUUUACCUUGACGAAUUGUAGCUUAAAGAAGUGUUUUCUGUUGAAGUUUUGGUAAAAGUUCUUUGGAAUAGGACAUCAUAGAGGGUGAGAAUCCCGUAUUUGACCAUUAUUUUCAGCUGUGUGAUACACUUUCAAAGAGUCGGAUUGUUUGGGAAUGCAGUCCAAAAUGGGUGGUAAAUUUCAUCUAAAGCUAAAUAUUGGCGAGAGACCGAUAGCGAACAAGUACCGUGAGGGAAAGAUGAAAAGAACUUUGAAAAGAGAGUUAAACAGUACGUGAAAUUGUCAAAAGGGAAGCGUUUGACACCAGUGUUGUUUUCUCGAAAAUCAAUUAAAAAGAGUUGGAUUUUGUGUUGUAUUGACCUUAACAGCUUUCUUCACUCUUUUCCUGCUUUUUUUAAUGCACUUUUCGUUUAACAAGUCAACAUCAGUUUCUUUUGUUGUAAAAGGGUCAUUGGAAGGUGGCUUUCCUUUCGGAGAAAGUGUUUAUAGCCUUUGAUCUCUGCAAUCGGAGAGACUGAGGUCUGCAGCGUAGAUCCUUCGGGGUUAGAUACAUUUGUGCUAAGUUAUAACUUUUCAUAGACAACUUGUUGACUAUGUUUAGUCAUGUAGCUUACUCGCUUAUGCUAUUUUACCUACGCUUAGGAUGUUGAAUCUGUGCGAGACUAC